CACCUGUUGAGGAGUCCCACAAUAAGACGAAACGGCCGUCCAGUGU
rnacentral:hammerhead_ribozyme from 1 species